AGAGAGAAGAAAGGGUGAGGGAAGGGAAGAGAGAAGAGGAGGAACAGAGAGAGGAAAGAGUGAGGGAAGGGAAGAGAGAAGAGGAGGAACAGAGAGAGGAAAGAGGAAGGGAAGAGAGAAGCGGAGGAACAGAGAGAAGAAAGGGUGAGGGAAGGGCUAAAGAUUUAAGAGCAGAAGAAGGUAAAACUACAACCCACCUCCAAGCCUCGACUUGGCCCACAACCCCAAAAACAUAACACCUCCACCGGUACGUAUAGGAAAGCAGAUAUUCCAUUACGCUCUAUUGAGGAAGCCUCAAUCAUCUUUAAAGGAGGGCCGAACUUCCUGAUUUGUCCUCGUUUUUCAGCAGGUUCAUUAAGAAAUGCAGCGGCCAUGAUUGAAGCCAAAUAAGAGUUGUCUUGGGGGGGGGUGUGGUUUAGCGUGGGUGUCUCGUGUGUGCUCGCACGUGGCAAGUGUUUGCACAUUCACUCUGCCAAAACAGUACACAGUUACAGUCACUCAUCCUUCUAGAUAACUUGAAAUGUCUAACCAGGUCUUCAGCCAGAUGGUGUGAAACUGAGGCAAAGUUCGUCAGGAUUGAGAUAAACCCAACAUGAGGAAAACUAUUACGGUACCCUUAACUCUGUGACAUACCAUGUUUUCCAAUCAACUCGCAAAUCUCAGUUUUGGAUGAGACUGACUUCAUGACCAAAAUUAUCCUUCUGACACUUUGUAGUACAUUUUGACACUCAAGUGACGGAUUUGACCUAAUGAGUCGAAACCCACAACUAAGAGAAGUUUAAACAGAGAGAGGGGAAGUGGAGAUUCCAAAAUGUGGAAAUCGUGCCAGAACUAAGAACAUGAUGAAAGUAGGGGCACUCCGCAGAGGGAAAAACACACAGCACCGACAGUAGGAAAAGAGGGAGGGCCUGAAGGAAGAUCGAGGGAAAGCGAAAGAGUGGGAGAAUAACAGCAAGAGAGAAAGAAACAGCAGGAGUGAACGAGAGGGAGAGAUUUCUUUUAAUUUUUAUCAGGAUGAAGUUGUUACACCGGUUUAAAAUGUCUGGCAGUCAAGGUGCCCUGAAAAGAGACCAAUAUGCACGCGCACACACACACACACAGGAGACCAACAACAAGCGCCCAACACGCACGCACACACACGCGCGAGAGACCAAAAUGCACACACAUACACACAGGAGACCAACAACAAACGUUUAUCUCAAUCCCGCACACACACACACACACACACACACACGAGACCAACACGCGCACACACACACACACACACAACCAACACGUGCACACACACAACCAACGCGCACACACACAACCAACGCGCACACACACACAACCAACGUGCACAUGCACAUGACCAUGACCAUGACAUGCGCAUGCACACACACACACGGCCAUCACGCGCCCGCACACACACGGCCAUCACGCGCCCGCACACACACGGCCAUCACGCGCCCGCACACACACGGCCAUCACGCGCCCGCACACACACGGCCAUCUCUCGCCCGCACACACACGGCCAUCACUCGCCCGCACACACACGGCCAUCACUCGCCCGCACACACACGGCCAUCACUCGCCCGCACACACACGGCCAUCACUCGCCCGCACACACACGGCCAUCACUCGCCCGCACACACACGGCCAUCACUCGCCCGCGCGCACACACAAACACGACCAACAUGCUAGACCAACACGCACACACAAACAACACGCGCGCACGAUCAUCCUGCACACGCACUA
ensembl:lncRNA